AGGUGAUAAUGCAUUAUUGGGGGGAGUGGAAAAGUUGUUAAGGUGAAGGAGUACACUAGGGUUUACGACCUCUCCCGGGACAGACCAGAGGAGCUGUGGUGGUGAACCUCGGCGCUGUAUUUGCCUGAAAUAUACAUAUAUUCGAGAUUACAGGUGUUUUUAUAUAGGAGAGGUCUGGAGGGAGAGACAAGAAAUCUUUUUGACUGUACGAAGUACACAAACCAUCUUUCUUCAUCAUGGAUGAUAAGCAUGUAAAUGACGCUAGUGCUCACAAGAGAAUACUCAUCGGCAACCUUCACAGUAGCCUCAUGCCUGAUUCACCAGCCUCUAUCUCUCAAGUUAUGACACAGUAUACUGCCACAGGACCUACAGGAAGCAAUAGCCGGACUUCCUCUUCACAAUCAUCCUCCUUACAAUUAUCCUUCUUACAGACAUCCUCCUUACAGACAUCAGAAUUUUGUGAGUUAUCAACAAAACUUGAUAGAGAAAGCUUGAUGAAGGUUAAUUCCAUGCUUGUGCAACCAUCUCGGUACUUAGAGGACGUGCCAAUCUUUGGAAUUGGUGAAGCUGAGGGUGAAGUGCCACACACUGAUCUUCCUGUUGCUAAUAUUGACUUAACAGCGAGAAUGUCAAUCCUUGGACUUCCCUCAAAUUUAGAGGGGAAAGGUGAAACCAGUUCAGGAAUUUUGGCCAGUGUAGUAGAUGGAGGCGAGUCAAAGGAAACCAAGAUGGAUUUAUUGAAUUCUGCUCCAUUUUUAGUGAGUGAAGAGGGUGUGAUGUUUCAGUGCUUCCCCAUUUCUGAAAAGGAAGUGAUUAUAGUAAGUUUGAAUGAUAGUUCUUUGAUUAUAAAUGACUCUGUUGCUGGCCAUUUGCCUGCUAUAUCCGAGUCAAAUUCUGGAGGCAGUUCAUCCCAUUUAAGAAUAUGUCCUCUUAAUAAUACCUCCACUGAAAGCAAAGUAGGAGAUGCAGAGAAGAAAGUGAAUAUCUCACUAAUACAGCCUAUGGAUGGAGCCAUCUCUGGAACUAGCAGUCAAGAUGUCACUUCAUCAGUUAUUCUCUCCAGUAAUGAACAUGAAAGCAGUUACAACACACCCGCAUAUGACAUGACUCCAUCGUCUGUGUUAAUGAAGAACUGUGCAUCAGGUCACAUAAAACAUGUAGGAAAUACUGUCAUUAACUCACUUCCUCACGUUCCAACGAACAUUGUACAAUGCAGCAAUGUGGCUGUAAACCGUAAAGGGAAAUUAAAUUGCAUGGCAGAGGGUGCUAAAGAAAGCUGCCAGAAAGAAACAGAAAUAACUCAUGCAACAAUAUAUACACCAUUCCUGCGAAAACCACGAAAUUUGGCUGCAGAUUCAGAAGAGCAGAUGUCUUCUGCGGGAUUCAAAUGCUCCAUGUGUUCUGAUAUUCUUCCGUGUGCUGCCACUCUCAGGCACCAUUUAGUUAAGCAACAUCAGCAAAAAGACAUCAAAUCAUUCCUGUGUUUCCUGUGCAAGCAUGAGUGUUGGAGUGAGAGUCAACAAGAUUGGCAUCUUCGAGUCCAUCAUGGCAUUAAAAAUAAGGCUGUAGCUUGUUUUGUGUGUGGUGCUCAGUUAUCUACACCCACCGAGCGCAAAGCUCAUGUACGUAAACAUCUUGCUACCUUGACAUGCCCAAGUUGCUCUCUCAAGUUCUCAGCACAGCAUCAGUUGGUUGCACAUGUCAAGCAGCACCUCGAGAAACUACGGCCACACUGCUGUCUACUCUGUGGUGCUAGAUUCAGUCAUGCUGGCACUUUGCAGGUGCACUCGUGGCGGCACAGACCUCAGAAGUGUACCGAGGAAGGGUGUCGGCACGUAACAGAAGAUGAGAGCUGGCUUGUAGUUCAUCUUCAGAAUCAACACACAUUAACAGGCAGACAAAUCCAAAGUAUUAUUGCUGUUCGAAAUGCUUCUGAUCAUAAUAUGGAUCUAUUAUUAGGUAAAUACUCAUCCUUAUAUGAAAUCCCUUCAACUGGAUUGAGUUCAUAUAAUUCUGAAAAAUGUUUUACUUCAGAUGACUUAAAAUCCUCGUCCACUGGAGGUUCUGCUGGCCAGUUAAAGCAUGCUGAAAGUGAGAGAUUAACCUCAUGUUCAGAUCAGCAAUCUCAGGCCGCAGUGGAUGAGGAUUGCAAUAUAUUUAAGGAUGUUGUGAACUGUUUGGUGGAGACUGUAGCAAUUGUUGAAGAGGAGCAGAAGAAAGGCUUGAGAAGAGAAGAGGAGAUACUUCAGAAGGUUACAGAGGAAGGACCAACCAUGCAUCGAUGCGGUUUAUGCAAUAUUUAUCUGCCUUCAGCAGAAGAACUUGCUGCACAUAAAUCUGGACACAACCAGGCAAUCAUAUGUUUGAAAUGCCAAAAGUCUUUCCUGAGUGUGAAGCAGCUUAAACGCCACAUGACAGUCCAUAAUUCACAAGAGGGAAGCAAGGAUGAAGCAGAGAAACAUAGAGUUCCACAUGAGUAUCGAUGUCUAGAGUGUGGGAAAAUAUGUGCAUCUGAAUCGGCUCUCAGUCGGCAUAGGGGCACACAUGCACGUUCUCUUGGGCGACAUCAGUGCCAAACCUGCAAACGGCGAGUACGAACUCGCAACCAACUCACUGAGCACAUGGCACGUGUUCAUAAAAUUAAUCAUGAAUCAAAGAAGCUGCAAUGUCCAAUGUGUGAUAGAAGAUUCACGUCAAAAAUUCACCUUGAGUCGCAUUUAUUGGCCCAUGGGGAACGGGAGCCUCUUUGGUCGUGCGACAAGUGUGACCGGAAUUAUGUCCGUCCUCGCAGUCUGCAGCGGCACAUGGCAAUGCACGAUCACAAAUAUGUGUGCAGCACUUGCAAUGAAUCCUUCAAUUCUGCUCAUCGUCUGUCCGUCCAUUCCAGAAUCCAUGAUCCCUCGCACAAAAAAAGGUUGUCUUGCCCAAAGUGCCCUCAGCAAUAUGCAUAUGAAAGUCAGCUGCAAGUGCAUAUGCGAAUCCACACAGGUGAAAAGCCAUAUGUGUGUGAAACAUGUGGCAAAUGCUUCAAGCGUAUACAACAAUGCCAUGCGCACCAUCGCAUGAUACAUGGAAACCAUAAAGAGACUUGUGUUGAGUGUGGAAAGACAUUUGGAGACAAGACGAACUUGUUGCGUCACCGCCUUAUGGUUCAUUAUCACCUCAAACGCUGGGUGUGUGGUGUCUGUGCACAAAGCUAUGCAUAUUCUCAGGACCUCAGAAAUCACCUACAGAAGCAGCAUAGCCUCGAAUUUGAACGACUCGAUGGAACCAACAAAAGAUCCCGACAUGAGGUUUAUGUUGUGCCCGAGUUGGGAAGUCAAGACCUGAGUCAAGCUGUUCAAAGAGCAGUAGAAAGUGUAUGCGCUCUAGAGCACCGGAAAGUGCAACAAGUUCUAUGUAGUACCUCGAGCAGCCUGAAAAAGUCCAGAAAGACCGAAAUUGAAAAUUCAGAGGAUGUUGACAACCCUGAUGAUCCAGCAUUACUUCAUGAUAAUCCCUUAACCAUUGCAUCUCUUGUGGUUAAUGAUCCCCCGCCUAUCAAAGAAACUGCUGUGACUGCUACAUCUAUAUUAGUUCCCUCUGCUACCAUAGCAAUUCCCACUGUUAUUGAAGCUAGCCACAUUCAGACAGAAGAGAAAACUGGUCAGACUGCAACAACAGAAAGAGAGGUGCAGGGCUUUGUAAGAUUGACUGGGAUAAAUUGUGUUGAGUGUGGAGUCGAAACUACCACACCACUUCAGUGUGGCCCGUGUGGUGCAUUCAUGUGUUCACAAGCACACUUGGAUAUUCAUGCUGCCUCAAAUCACCGUGUGAUGUUUCAGUGUUCAGUUUGUGGUGUGCAUUAUGGAAGUCAGGGAGAGUGUGUGGCUCAUGUUACUGCAGCUCAUUCAUCACAUUUGUUGGCUGUUCAAGGAGGUGCAACAACUUAUCUUCCUCAGCAACCUUCUCAGUCCAUUCAGAUAAACGGUGGUGGGACCUUACCACCACAACUGUGUAUGCCUCUUGCCCAUUCUCAGCCAGUGCCACAGGGUCUUGUGCAAGUAGCAGGACAUUCACACCAGGUCCCCCUUGUCAUUGCACCAGCCACAGCCAAUGCAGCUGAACAUCAAAUAGAAACCAAUAAUGUAAUUCUCCAGUAUCCAAAUGUCAAUUCUCUUUCAGCAAGCUUUCCCAUUCUGCCUCAUUCAGCAGUAGUAGAUUCUACCAGGAAUCCAGGAAAGCAGCCAAUCUUUACCAUGACUGGUGUUCUGUCUGGACAUCAACAAACACUGCCAAGAAAUCUGAGAAAAGAUGGUCAUACCCUAGAUAAGCAGGAGAAGCAGCCUGGGCCGUCAGUAUGUGCCAUCACGUUUCCAUCCAGUAAUGAUGGAGGCUUGAUGCUUCCAACAGGCGAAGCCUCUUCCAUAAACUUCUCUUCUGUGCAGAACAUAACUUCACUUCCUACCAUCUUUCCUCGCACAAACAGUAAUGGGGAAAAUUCCACUUUUCUCAUGGGAGAUGUGAGCAUCAACACACAGACAAAUGACAGUGAACCUGUUUUGUUAGUGGGUUCACUACCUUUCAGUAAUAUAUCAACAGGAUCCCCAGCUGUUUUAUCUCAGCAUAAGCAAUGUAAUCUUAGCAAUCAGACAAGCACAUCCGUGGCCAGCGUCCUCUUAACACUGGCAGAAGCUUCUCCCAACGGGCCGGCGGCACCACUUGUGCCAAGUGAUCUGCCUAGAGUUACAGAGGAAGAAGUCAAGCAGGACUCUCCUAUUAUAACCAGAAACAUGCCUCUGCAGAAGACUUGGGAAGAAGAAGAGCCUAACACUGGGGAUGGCUCGAACCUUCUUCAGUCUUUGGUAGAACUUCCUGUUUCAGCUGAGGAGGGGAAUCCUUCAUCAGGUUCAUCAUCUCUUCCUAAUGUACAGGUACCUGAAAGUAUAUGUACUCAAGAGCCUCCGCAUGAAGUGAGCGUUGAAAUCAUCCAGCCUCGGCCACGACGCUCUAAGGCACAGUCAAAAAAAGCAAAAUUGCAUUGGGAGAAGGCAGUAUCACGUACAAAAAGGGGUGCAGAAGACCAGCCAUCCAACAGUGCAGAUGUGAACUUAGCGUUCCAGUGCUCAACAUGUGGGAAGAAUUUUCAGUCUAAAGCAUGUCUGGAGCGGCACCAACGCACACAUAAUGGUAUAUACGUGACCUAAAAGAACAUAAACGUAACCAUGAAGGAUCUAGACCACAUGUGUGUAAAAUCUGCGAAAAAGGGUUUGUUCGGUGGAGAGAUUACACAAGACAUUACCGGGAACAACAUGGUACUCAGCGUCACCAGUGCCAGAUUUGUGGCUCUUCGUUCAAACGGCGUUUGUACCUAGAAACGGUUCAUAUGAGGACUCGUCACCCGCAAGUAGAUGAG
rnacentral:misc_RNA from 1 species